rnacentral:rRNA from 1 species
UACGUAGGUGGCAAGCGUUGUCCGGAUUUACUGGGCGUAAAGAGCGCGCAGGCGGUCGGAUAAGUCGAAUGUGAAAGCCCCCGGCUCAACUGGGGAGGGUCAUUCGAUACUGUUCGACUGGAAGGCAGGAGAGGGAAGCGGAAUUCCCGGUGUAGCGGUGAAAUGCGUAGAUAUCGAGAGGAACACCUGCGGCGAAGGCGGGUUGCUGGGCCGACACUGACGCUGAGGCGCGAAAGCCAGGGGAGCGAACAGG